AGAGGUCUCAAGCGUUGUUCGGAUUCAUUGGGCGUAAAGGGUGUGAUAGGUGGCGCCGUAAGUCGGGUGUGAAAUUUCGGGAGCUUAAACUCCGAAACUGCAUUCGACUACUGCGGUGCUUGAGGACUGGAGAGGAGACUGGAAUUCAUGGUGUAGCAGUGAAAUGCGUAGAUAUCGAUAAGGAAGACCAGUGGCGAAGGCGGGU
rnacentral:rRNA from 1 species